UAUGUUUUCUAAUCAGUUUGUCUGUACGUCUCUUUGUUCCUUCCUUUUUCUGUCUGUCAACAGAAUUACAGAAAAUGUACUGGCCCCAUUUUCAUGAAACCUGGUGAAAGGGUGUAGAUCGGCCCUAGGAAGAAACCAUUACAUUUUGGAGCGGAUCCAAACUACGGUUUUCUAACAACAGAGGAGAGGCAUCUUUAAAGACGACGUCCGUCUUCAUUAGAGAUGAGAGGAGCAGCUAUGAGUUUAACUGCAGCAGAGAGUGGAUUUGUUGUCUUCCUUCUCUCUGUGUCAGGUACUGUAUAUCUACAGUUACAUUCAUUCUUUAAAAGAGGGAUUCUGGGAAAAUGUGGGACUGAAGGUCAUCAUGUGUGAAUAAGUAGAUCAGAGUUGUGUGAAAGGCAAACUUCCAGAAAUGCUACAAAUAUUAGUUUUGUUUACAAUUGUGGAAACUCAGCAGACGGUAUCAGUUUAGUUUGUUGUUGUGUUAAUUGGACAGUAUCUUUUAAUUUUGUCCUUUGCAUGAAGUAACUGUGUGCUAAGCACUUUUACAUGAUGUAAACAGAGAAUAUUGUGGCUUUUAUUCAGAACUGUUCCCUCCUCACUCUGUGAAAACAUAUUACUGUUUAAUCUGUUCUAAAGACGACCCUGGUU